UCCCUGGUGGUCCAGUGGCUAAGACUCUGCAUUCCCAAUGCAGGUAGCCCAGGUUCAAUCCCUGGUCAGGGAG